rnacentral:rRNA from 1 species
GACGAACGCUGGCGGCGUGCCUAAUACAUGCAAGUAGAACGCUGAAGAGAGGAGCUUGCUCUUCUUGGAUGAGUUGCGAACGGGUGAGUAACGCGUAGGUAACCUGCCUUGUAGCGGGGGAUAACUAUUGGAAACGAUAGCUAAUACCGCAUAACAAUGGAUGACACAUGUCAUUUAUUUGAAAGGGGCAAUUGCUCCACUACAAGAUGGACCUGCGUUGUAUUAGCUAGUAGGUGAGGUAACGGCUCACCUAGGCGACGAUACAUAGCCGACCUGAGAGGGUGAUCGGCCACACUGGGACUGAGACACGGCCCAGACUCCUACGGGAGGCAGCAGUAGGGAAUCUUCGGCAAGGGGGGCAACCCUGACCGAGCAACGCCGCGUGAGUGAAGAAGGUUUUCGGAUCGUAAAGCUCUGUUGUAAGUCAAGAACGAGUGUGAGAGUGGAAAGUUCACACUGUGACGGUAGCUUACCAGAAAGGGACGGCUAACUGCGUGCCAGCAGCCGCGGUAAUACGUAGGUCCCGAGCGUUGUCCGGAUUUAUUGGGCGUAAAGCGAGCGCAGGCGGUUUGAUAAGUCUGAAGUUAAAGGCUGUGGCUCAACCAUAGUUCGCUUUGGAAACUGUCAAACUUGAGUGCAGAAGGGGAGAGUGGAAUUCCAUGUGUAGCGGUGAAAUGCGUAGAUAUAUGGAGGAACACCGGUGGCGAAAGCGGCUCUCUGGUCUGUAACUGACGCUGAGGCUCGAAAGCGUGGGGAGCGAACAGG